GCUGAUGAACUGAAUAUGGGGAGUGAGGGGAAGGAAGACGUCCAGAACUGACCUGAGGGCCUGAGUAGAUGGUGGUACCAUUACUAUGUGGGGGGUAGCGUGGAUUUGGAGGGAAAACCAGGAGGUUUUUUGGGGGGGGGGGUUGGUCGUUUUUCAGAAACUGCAAGUCAUACUGUACCCUUUUUGUGUGCUGGGCCCUGAGGACAUCCCCAGAAAACAGAACAGACAGGGCGACCUUCCCUCCUGGAGCUUGGCUGGUGGUGAGGAAAAGCCAGACACCAUGAGAGAAGAACAAGGCUCGGUAAGAAAUGAACAUGAUGCCAUGAAGGAGGUGGAUGACGCAGACACGCAACCCACCAUGAGGCUCCUACUGACCUUCUGAACACACACAUUUUGAACCUGAAUUGACCACAGGCUUUCUUUAUACACCACAUGAUUUCCUGUUUGUUUGCUGAUGGUGUCUCCAGCCAGGCAGACUGCAAGCUCCAUGAAGGCAGAGGCAGAAGAGCGCCUGGCAGGCAGUGAGCCCUCGGCAAGUCCGUGCUGACCUCAUGAAUGAGUCUGCGCCACCGCCACCCCCGUUCAGGAGACAGUUGUACUUAGGGGCAGCGGCCCCAUUAUCAGACCACCUGGGUGCCACAGCUUGUCAGUUCUAGAUCUCCAGCAAGUUACGUAGCUUCUCUGUGCCUUGGUUUUCUCAUCUGCAAAACGGAGAUAACAGAAGGACUUACUUCAUGGGGUUGUAGGGAUUAGGGAGUUAAUACAUGCAAAAUGCUCAGAAUAGGGAUGCCUGGAUGGCACAGUAGGUUGA